rnacentral:rRNA from 1 species
UACGAAGGGGGCUAGCGUUGCUCGGAAUCACUGGGCGUAAAGCGCACGUAGGCGGAUUGCUAAGUCAGGGGUGAAAGCCCAGAGCUCAACUCUGGAAUUGCCUUUGAGACUGAGUGGCUUGAGUACGAGAGAGGUGAGUGGAAUUCCCAGUGUAGAGGUGAAAUUCGUAGAUAUUGGGAAGAACACCGGUGGCGAAGGCGGCUCACUGGCUCGUAACUGACGCUCAUGCACGACAGCGUGGGGAUCAAAACAGG